UUCUCUUUAUUUUUUAGAUUAAGAAACCAAACUUAUAUUUUAUCUUUCAAAGCAAAAAAAACUCAGCAACAUCUGAUGCGUUAUUGCUCCAGCGACUCCGCCGCCGCCGACUCUACCACCACCACUAUAGUGUCCUCCUUCUUCCAUGGCGGAUCUGCAACCUUUUUGUUGCUUUCUCCUACCAUAAAAUAAUGUUGUCAAACACCACUAGAUCAAAUCACCAUUGUUGCUUCAGAUUUGCUUCGACGGAGAUCCACAAAAAUCUCUAGAUUCACUCAGGUUCGUCACCACUUUCCUCCAUCAUAUUUGAAAACUAAAUUAUCUCCGCCACUCAUCUCCUCCAGAUGUUUCGUGAACCACCACCACCACUACCGUUACCGCUUCCACCAUCAACAAUCAUCACCAAUCUAAUUUUUUGUGGUCUGAUUUGAUGAGAUUUGAUGAAAACAGCCUUCUACUAGUGGUCGGUGGAACCAUAUCUAUAGUAGUUUGACACACCAGAAGUCGGGUCUAAAAGUUUUAACGACUAAUGAGACCAAAUCUACAAGCUCCGACAAACGGCAAUGCCAGAUCUAGCAGCUCCUGUGAGCUGCAAGGAUCCACCACAACCGUCUCCAUCUAGAUCCGGUUCAUCUUCAAUUCUCCAAGAUUUGCUUCGUCUCUACCACCUCCAUCCAUCUUCUUCAUCUCCGGUCACCACCCCGUCGCUUCUCUACCACAUGUGCUCUACAUUGGCAAUCUUCAUUUUGAGAGCUCUUGAGGCAGAAAUUACCUGAAAAAAAUUCAUGAUUCGUCAUACAAGAAUAUUAUGUCACUUUGAAGUACUAUGGAGUUUAUGCCCUUGAAGGUUCACUUGCUCAGAGUGUCUGCAAUAAGCAGAAGGCAAAUGCAUUGGGUGCUAGUUUUGUGUAUUUACCUGCUGGAGAGAACCUAGAGUGGAGGGCUUAUUUGCCAUAAAUUUGAAAUUAAUGUGUCACAUCGAUUUACUACAUGAAGUAAACAACCAUUUUUUUCAAUUGAUUUGCCAUAAAUUUUACCUGAAUUUGACUAUUUAUACAUGCACAUAUAUUCA